UAUUGCACAAUGGGGGAAACCCUGAUGCAGCGACGCCGCGUGAGUGAAGAAGUAUUUCGGUANGUAAAGCACUAUCAGCAGGAACNNAANNNGNCGGUACCUGACUAAGAAGCACCGGCUAACUACGUGCCAGCAGCCGCGGUAAUACGUAGGGGGCAAGCGUUAUCCGGAAUCACUGGGUGUAAAGGGAGCGUAGACGGCUGAGCAAGCCUGAAGUGAAAGGCGGGGGCCCAACCCCUGGACUGCUUUGGGAACUGUACGGCUGGAGUGCAGGAGAGGUAAGUGGAAUUCCUAGUGUAGCGGUGAAAUGCGUAGAUAUUAGGAGGAACACCAGUGGCGAAGGCGGCUUACUGGACUGUAACUGACGUUGAGGCUCGAAAGCGUGGGGAGCA
rnacentral:rRNA from 1 species